UGCAAGUCGAGCGGACAGAAGGGAGCUUGCUCCCGGAUGUUAGCGGCGGACGGGUGAGUAACACGUGGGUAACCUGCCUGUAAGACUGGGAUAACUCCGGGAAACCGGAGCUAAUACCGGAUAGUUCCUUGAACCGCAUGGUUCAAGGAUGAAAGACGGUUUCGGCUGUCACUUACAGAUGGACCCGCGGCGCAUUAGCUAGUUGGUGAGGUAACGGCUCACCAAGGCGACGAUGCGUAGCCGACCUGAGAGGGUGAUCGGCCACACUGGGACUGAGACACGGCCCAGACUCCUACGGGAGGCAGCAGUAGGGAAUCUUCCGCAAUGGACGAAAGUCUGACGGAGCAACGCCGCGUGAGUGAUGAAGGUUUUCGGAUCGUAAAGCUCUGUUGUUAGGGAAGAACAAGUGCAAGAGUAACUGCUUGCACCUUGACGGUACCUAACCAGAAAGCCACGGCUAACUACGUGCCAGCAGCCGCGGUAAUACGUAGGUGGCAAGCGUUGUCCGGAAUUAUUGGGCGUAAAGGGCUCGCAGGCGGUUUCUUAAGUCUGAUGUGAAAGCCCCCGGCUCAACCGGGGAGGGUCAUUGGAAACUGGGAAACUUGAGUGCAGAAGAGGAGAGUGGAAUUCCACGUGUAGCGGUGAAAUGCGUAGAGAUGUGGAGGAACACCAGUGGCGAAGGCGACUCUCUGGUCUGUAACUGACGCUGAGGAGCGAAAGCGUGGGGAGCGAACAGGAUUAGAUACGCUGGUAGUCCACGCCGUAAACGAUGAGUGCUAAGUGUUAGGGGGUUUCCGCCCCUUAGUGCUGCAGCUAACGCAUUAAGCACUCCGCCUGGAG
rnacentral:rRNA from 1 species